rnacentral:lncRNA from 1 species
AAGUCUGAUUUAUGUGGUGAGUGGACUUAAAAAAACUGCUGUAGUCUAAAAUCAGUUUUUCAGUAUUGAAAGCCUUUGAGCUUUGGUUUAGAUUUUUUAUUUAUUUUUGUUUGUUUUUAAUUUCCUGUUCAUUGCUCUCACCAUGCCUCCCUUUUUACACAGACCUAAAGGAUCAGACUGUGGCAUUGUAAAUGUCAACAUUCCAACAAGUGGGGCUGAGAUUGGAGGUGCCUUUGGAGGAGAAAAGCACACUGGUGGUGGCAGGGAGUCUGGCAGUGAUGCCUGGAAACAGUACAUGAGAAGGUCUACUUGUACUAUCAACUACAGUAAAGACCUUCCUCUGGCCCAAGGAAUCAAGUUUCAGUAAAGGUGUUUUAGAUGAACAUCCCUUAAUUUGAGGUGUUCCAGCAGCUGUUUUUGGAGAAGACAAAGAAAAUUAAAGUUUUCCCUGAAUAAAUGCAUUAUUAUGACUGUGACAGUGACUAAUCCCCCUAUGACCCCAAAGCCCUGAUUAAAUCAAGAGAUUCCUUUUUUAAAAAUCAAAAUAAAAUUGUUACAACAUAGCCAUAGUUACUAAAA